UACGUAGGGACCGAGCGUUGUCCGGAAUCAUUGGGCGUAAAGAGCGUGUAGGCGGCUCGCUAAGUCUUGCGUGAAAUCUCGGGGCUCAACCCCGAGCGGUCGUGAGAAACUGGCGGGCUAGAGUGCGGGAGAGGAGAGUGGAAUUCCUGGUGUAGCGGUGAAAUGCGCAGAUAUCAGGAAGAACACCCGUGGCGAAGGCGGCUCUCUGGAACGCAACUGACGCUGAGACGCGAAAGCGUGGGGAGCAAACAGG
rnacentral:rRNA from 1 species